GCGGAGGUCGUAUAACGGUAUUACGCCGGCUUCCCAAGCCGGUUUUCGCGGGUUCGACUCCCGUCCUCCGCUCCA
rnacentral:tRNA from 1 species